GAUGAACGCUGGCGGCGUGCCUAAUACAUGCAAGUCGAGCGAACAGACGAGGAGCUUGCUCCUCUGACGUUAGCGGCGGACGGGUGAGUAACACGUGGAUAACCUACCUAUAAGACUGGGAUAACUUCGGGAAACCGGAGCUAAUACCGGAUAAUAUAUUGAACCGCAUGGUUCAAUAGUGAAAGACGGUUUUGUUGUCACUUAUAGAUGGAUCCGCGCCGCAUUAGCUAGUUGGUAAGGUAACGGCUUACCAAGGCAACGAUGCGUAGCCGACCUGAGAGGGUGAUCGGCCACACUGGAACUGAGACACGGUCCAGACUCCUACGGGAGGCAGCAGUAGGGAAUCUUCCGCAAAGGGCGAAAGCUUGACGGAGCAACGCCGCGUGAGUGAUGAAGGUCUUCGGAUCGUAAAACUCUGUUAUUAGGGAAGAACAAAUGUGUAAGUAACUAUGCACGUCUUGACGGUACCUAAUCAGAAAGCCACGGCUAACUACGUG
rnacentral:rRNA from 1 species